rnacentral:lncRNA from 1 species
CCCCAACUCCUUAUUUGAUUAGUGACCAUAACCCCGGUAUUCCUGUUGGUCAUAACUUUCUCUUCGACUUGGUGCAAUGUGGAGGACCAGCCAGAAUGACACAAACCAACCACCUUAAACUAACUGAACAAGAGAUAACAAAUGUAUUAGAGUUCAACACUUUUUCAAAACUUCUUUUUCGUUCUUUUCUUUUUUCUUUUGAAAAGAUCACCGAACCCUAGAAGGGUGCCUACGUAUCUCACUCCCGAGAGAGGAGAAUCAGGUGUGCAUAGUUCGUGAAAUUUUGGCACAUCAUAGCCGAUCAAACUCUCUUUUCUUUUGAAACCCUAAAAGAAAAUAACAAGGUGUCACAAGAAUUGACGAAAAUCUUUUUUGAAUUUUUCAGCUUUAAACUCCCUAUACAAAAUGAAACAUAUGAUUACCAAAGAAAAAUCUUUUUGGAUUUUCAAUUUUGAAUUUCAUAUGAAAAUGGAACUUGAAACUAUUAAAGGAAAAUCUUUUUAUGGUUUUAUUUUAGAGAUGUAUAUGACACCUACUCUAAAUGAAGAGUAAAGAAAAUCUUUUUGAAUUUUUCAGAUUAUUACAAAAUGAAACCUAUGAUUACCAAGGAAAAAUCUUUUUGGGUUUUCAAUUUUGAAUUUCAUAUGAAAAUGGAACUUGAAACUAUUAAAGGAAAAUCUUUUUGUGAUUUUCUUUUAGAGAUGUAUAUGAAACCUACUCUAAAAAAAAAUUUUAAUUUUUUUAAAUAAGAUCACCGAACCCAAAAAGGGCUGCCUACGUAUCACCCCCAAAAGAGGAGAAUCAGGUGUGUGUAGUUUAUUCAGAUUGGACAAAUAAGGAUUAAAUAAAAAAUUGACCCUAACUUCAGAGACACGACCAAAGCCAGACAAUGAACAACAUCAAUAAAAAAUUUGGGGGGGAUUUAAUUAAACACUUCACAUAAAACUGACACCAAUAACUAUGAAAGAAAAAUAUUUUUUUAGUAUUUUUGUUAUAUUAAAUGUACAAAACUUCUAUCAUCUUUUUUUUUUGAAUUUUUCGUUUAUAAAAAACUCUUAUUGAAAAAAAAUCUUUUUGAAGUUUUCGAAUUGUGAAUGUUUGCUCAAGGAAAAAAGGAAAAUCUUUUUGAUGUUUUUGUUUUUUUGAGAAAGUGAGUGCAAAAGGUAAAUAAUCUUUUUGAAUUUUUGGAUUGUGUGAAACAAAAGCCAUAAAGAACACUAAAAAAAAACUACGAAACUCUUUUUUUCUCGACUCACUUUUUUUUUUUGAACUUUUCCUUGCCUACACACUUUUCUUUAAUUCUAGCACAUGUUUUCCCCAAAUCAGUUCAUUGAAUGAUCCUGUAACCAUCAAAUAUGCAACAAUUAGCACAUACGGAUGUUUUAAGAGUGAGUCUCCUACAAAGGACCAAGUGGGUCCCACUAGGUCUUAAUAUGAUGCAGAUAAGCAUGACCUAAAGGCUGAUCUAUGUUGGGAUUCUCUAACAAGGUUGUUAGGGGAGCAUAUGGUCGAUAGUGGUUGCGAUAACUUUCCACCCACUCCAUACCAGCCGACGGCUCCUCCUCCUAAAAUAAGGGUGACUCAACUAGAGGUUGUGUACACAGUGUGUACUACAGAACUUGUUGCAGAAAAAAUUAACUUGGGUUAUGCAAAUGAAGCCAAAUAUAAAGCGGUACCACAUAAGAGAAAAGACUGUAAACACGUAGCAAGUAGGCACUCAACAAUGAUAAAACAAAUACAAACAAUAACACAAGCAACGUCUAUACACUCAUAAUGUCAAAUAAGUCAAUAUAACUUCAAAAAUAAGCUCGAAUUCUGAAAUUCCUCAGCAGAGUCGUCAGAGCUGUCACACCCCUUUUUGAACCAAAAAGAUUAAUUUUUAGGUUUGAAAGGAUUUUUAUUAUUAAAUAACAAAAGAUAAAAUUAUUUCAAAAAGGAUUCAUUUUUUACAAUUAGCUCAGAGUCGUUACUUGGCAUAAUCGGAUGUGCAAGUCACCCUUAGAAAUCCUUUUUCAAAAAAAUAUUUUUGACUCUAAAACUUAUCCGCGAAUAAAGAUUCCGGCUAAGGAAUUCUGUUGACCGAGGGGAAGGUGUUAGGCACCCCUCGAUCCCGUGGUUCGACCACGGUCACUCUGUAGAGUAUAUCGGCUAGUAUGAACAUUAUGACUGUAUAAACCAACAAACACAUAAACACGAAACAAACAAACAAAAUCAAAAUUAAUGUCCAAUCUAAUUUAUUACAAACCCAAAAUAAAAAGGUACUGAAAUGUAAACCUACGCUAACCUAAACUAGUCCUACACUACACUUCAAUGCUUUACCCGAUGCCUCGGACCUUGACCACGAGCCUCCUUUGCAUACAUGAUACUUUGGGGCAUUCCCCAGUGAAUAAAUACAAAUGACUUCUGGGCAUUCCCCGGCUAAAUGAAUAUAUUUUUUCAAUGCUAGAAGACCAAAAUCAUUCAACAAUAUUUCAAACAUUCAAUAACUCAUAAUUUCUAAAUUUGUCUACCCCUAGCAUUUGCCUACCCAUUUAACGACCUAAUCAUGAUACUACUACAUUCGAGAAGGUUAAUAAACAUUUCAAAUUAAUUCAAUCGACGAACCAAAAUUAAUUCGAGUUCACUUUAUCAAGAUCAAUCCCUCCCCAAAUUCCUUUUAUACGUCAAAUUUUCACACAAAGCAAUUAUCCAAACUCAUGCUAACAUCAAAUUCGUACCAUGAUUAAUUAUUCACGAAUAAAUAAUAUCAAACAUCAACAAGAUCAUCCAAUGACAACCAUCAACACACAAUCAUAACAUCAAUAUAUCAAAUGAAAAUAAAGCGAAAAGAGAGAGUUGAAGAAUUGUACCUCAAUGCCGCUUUCAUUCAAACAUUACUCAAUUAAACGAGACAAAAUCCACGCCGAGAACCUCGACUCAAACCUCAAAUCAAAGUCCCAAAUUGAUAUUGUCGAAGUACACCCGAUUCUGUUUCUCACUAACUAAACCAAAACUCAUGAGAGAAAGACAAAAUUCCUGCCAGAACAGUGAAGUUGAAUCGGAUUAUGGUCGCUUUCCAAUGGGUGGAUGAUGGUCGACGAGCCGAUGGGAUUUUCAACGAAAGCUCACCGGCUGUUCACCAAAAAUUGAGCUGGGCCUCACCUAAAUAUGCGAAUUUGGUCAGUUUUGAGGCCUUUGGUCGCUGGUUUUGAAAGCUUAGGGGGUCGGAACUGGUUUUCCGGUGGGUUUGCGCCGCUGGAUAGGUUGUUUUCAAUGGCGAUUUCAGCAGCUCUCAAGUGAAAAUUCGUCGGAGAAGUGCCUCCUCUUCUCGAUUUUUCUCUCGCUGACCCCUGAUCUCGAUCUCUCUCUUCCCCUCUCCUCAAUUCACUCUUUGUUUCAGUCCCUUUUAGUGUAUGUGAGAGAAUUAUUGUGCGUGUAUGAAGUAGUAUUUAUGGUCUCCGUUCCAGUGAGUCCUUUUUUGUGUAUUGUGUGUGUAUGUGCUUUUUCUGUGAGUUUUCUUUGGAAGAUAAGAAAAUGGAGACCCCUUUCCGGUAUAUGUGAGUAUGUGCGUGAAUUUGAGAGUGACGGUGAGAUUUCUAUGAGUGAGUGGAAAUUUUUCUAGAGAAUGUGUAUUGUUUCCCUGUGGGUCCCGCUUCUCUUUUGUGUGUGAUGAAUGUG